AGUGUUACGCCGGAUGAACGGAAAUCAUUGAUGUUGGUUAUUAUGGGAUGUAGUUAAAUCUCUAGCACUA
rnacentral:tRNA from 1 species